rnacentral:rRNA from 1 species
GACGUAGGGCGCGAGCGUUGUCCGGAUUUAUUGGGCGUAAAGAGCUCGUAGGCGGCUUGUCGCGUCGUCCGUGAAAACCUGCGGCUCAACUGCAGGCUUGCGGUCGAUACGGGCAGGCUGGAGUUCGGUAGGGGAGACUGGAAUUCCUGGUGUAGCGGUGAAAUGCGCAGAUAUCAGGAGGAACACCGGUGGCGAAGGCGGGUCUCUGGGUCGAUACUGACGCUGAGGAGCGAAAGCGUGGGGAGCGAACAGG